rnacentral:rRNA from 1 species
GACGAACGCUGGCGGCGCGCUUAACACAUGCAAGUCGAGCGAGAACCGGACCUUCGGGUCCGGGAAGGCGGCGAACGGGUGAGUAACACGUGGGUAAUCUGCCCUCGGCACCGGAAUAGCCCGGGGAACCCGGAUUAAUGCCGGAUGGCCCAACAGCUCUUCGGGGCGGUUGGGAAAGGUAGCUUAGGCCUCCGGCCGAGGAGGAGCCCGCGGCGGAUUAGCUUGUUGGUGAGGUAACAGCUCACCAAGGCUGCGAUGGGUAGCUGGUCUGAGAGGACGAUCAGCCACACUGGGACUGAGACACGGCCCAGACUCCUACGGGAGGCAGCAGUGGGGAAUCUUGCGCAAUGCGCGAAAGCGUGACGCAGCAACGCCGCGU